ACUGAGACACGGCCCAAACUCCUACGGGAGGCAGCAGUAGGGAAUCUUCCACAAUGGGCGAAAGCCUGAUGGAGCAACGCCGCGUGGGUGAAGAAGGUCUUCGGAUCGUAAAACCCUGUUGUUAGAGAAGAAAGUGCGUGAGAGUAACUGUUCACGUUUCGACGGUAUCUAACCAGAAAGCCACGGCUAACUACGUGCCAGCAGCCGCGGUAAUACGUAGGUGGCAAGCGUUAUCCGGAUUUAUUGGGCGUAAAGGGAACGCAGGCGGUCUUUUAAGUCUGAUGUGAAAGCCUUCGGCUUAACCGGAGUAGUGCAUUGGAAACUGGGAGACUUGAGUGCAGAAGAGGAGAGUGGAACUCCAUGUGUAGCGGUGAAAUGCGUAGAUAUAUGGAAGAACACCAGUGGCGAAAGCGGCUCUCUGGUCUGUAACUGACGCUGAGGUUCGAAAGCGUGGGUAGCAAACAGGAUUAGAUACCCUGGUAGUCCACGCCGUAAACGAUGAAUGCUAAGUGUUGGAGGGUUUCCGCCCUUCA
rnacentral:rRNA from 1 species